UACGACUACAUAUCAGGCAUAUCAAUAAGCGGAGGAAAAGAAACUAACAAGGAUUCCCCUAGUAACGGCGAGUGAAGCGGGAAGAGCUCAAAUUUGAAAUCUUAAAGGGUUUCCCUUUACGAAUUGUAGUUUAAAGAAGUGUUUUCUGUUAGAUGAGUAGGCUAAAAGUUCUUUGGAAUAGGACAUCAUAGAGGGUGAGAAUCCCGUAUUUGACCGUUACUUUCCAGCUAUGUGAUACACUUUCAAAGAGUCGGAUUGUUUGGGAAUGCAGUCCAAAAUGGGUGGUAAAUUUCAUCUAAAGCUAAAUAUUGGCGAGAGACCGAUAGCGAACAAGUACCGUGAGGGAAAGAUGAAAAGAACUUUGAAAAGAGAGUUAAACAGUACGUGAAAUUGUCAAAAGGGAAGCGUUUGACACCAGUGUUGUUUUUCCAAAAAUCAAUUACGAAUGGCUUGAUUUUGUGUUGUAUUGACCUUAUCAGCUUUCUUCACUUUUUUCGAGUCUUUCUUAAUGCACUUUUCGGUUAACAAGUCAACAUCAAUUUCUUUUGUUGUAAAAGAGUAUUCGGAAGGUGGCUUUCUUUUCGGAGAAAGUGUUUAUAGCCCUAUACUUCUACAAUCGGAGAGAUUGAGGUCUGCAGCGUAGAUCCUUCGGGGUUAGAUACACUUGUGCUAAGUUGUAGCUUUUCAUAGACAACUCGUUGACUAUGUUUAGUCAUGCGGCUUACUCGCUUGUGCUAUUUUACCUACGCUUAGGAUGUUGAGUAGCGACAUACGCAC
rnacentral:rRNA from 1 species